UACGUAGGGGGCAAGCGUUGUCCGGAUUUAUUGGGCGUAAAGAGCGUGUAGGCGGCCAGGUAGGUCCGUUGUGAAAACUCGAGGCUCAACCUCGAGACGCCGAUGGAAACCAUCUGGCUAGAGUCCGGAAGAGGAGAGUGGAAUUCCUGGUGUAGCGGUGAAAUGCGCAGAUAUCAGGAAGAACACCCGUGGCUAAGGCGGCUCUCUAGUACGGUACUGACGCUGAGACGCGAAAGCGUGGGGAGCGAACAAG
rnacentral:rRNA from 1 species